GGAGAGGAGAAGUCAUGAGAGAUAAUUAAAGAAUUUCCCCAUAGCGGGGAGCGAGGUCAGGGCCAUCUCUCCUUUUGAGGUGAUUUGCUUCCCCUCCUUUGCCUGUGCUUCGUACUUCUUUGGCUCUGCUCCAGCUGCAUUCAAGACAGCCUCCAAAACAAAGAGCCGAGACGCCUACGUGUUUAGAAAUGGUACAAGGAAGAAGCAGGCCACUAGCACUUGUGUUUUAAACCAUUCCUUCUGAGAGAAGGGUCUGUGGCUGUUCAGGUGAGCUCAGAUUUUGAUUGGAGUAGACCAUCUGCCUUUACCAACUCGAAUUUGGACCUGUAGAAAGAAUGUAAACUUGGAAAUGAGACUAAUCUGGCUUCAGAUGGAUCCAGCUGGUGAUCAGAAGUUAAGACUUCUGGCAAGUUGAUGAACUUGUUUGAACCUCAAGGUUUUCAUUUGUAAAAUGCAGUGAUUGUAGUGUCCACACUGUGGGAGCACUGGGAAGAGUCAAUAAGAAACUGGGAGCAAAGUUAUAUGUAUAUAAUAUGUAAUAUACAAUAUAGAUAUCUACACAUAUACAUAUAUUACAUGUAAUAUAUAAUAAUAUAUAAUACAUGAUAUAUACUUAUACAGACAUAUGUGAUACAUAUAAAUGUCUGUAUAUAUUUAAUACCGAAGUGUGAUUAAAUAACACUUUCUUGGGUAUCCAUCUGUUUUCUAAUGCUAGAUUUUUCUUUUUUAAAUCUCCUUCAAAGGUACCUCCAAAUGGAGGAAGGAAGGAAAGAAGGAAAGGAAUGGUAUUAUAAUGUCUGAUCUAAUAAUCACAACCUCCCUGUUUGGCAAGGGUUUUAUCGUCUAGAAUUUACAGAGGAGGCUGCUGAGAACCAGAGGAAUGAGAGAGAUUGCCAAGGCUCUAAACUUCAGGCUGUCUCAGGCUCCUCAAGGGGGAUCCCCAGCUCUGAUGAAUGCCCGUAACCAUGCAAGCCUGCAGCAGCCCAGAAUCAGUGGAACCGUGAGCUUUCCCCACACACCACAGGGAAUUUGCCUGUGAGGUUUAAGCAGUUGUGACCCCAGAGUCAAAAGGCCACCAAAUGUCAGGUUCCCUGUGCCCAGCCUCCCCAAAACUCAGCAUUUUUACGUCUCAAGGAAUGAGUCAAUACUGUCCCAGCUCUAGCCAAAGAAACCGUGCUCCGAUGGCCAUGUUGGUAGCAUGUUGUCUGGGGAAAAAAAAAGACGACCUAAAAACCAUCUGCCCUUUGUGGUGACAGAAGUCCUGGUUCAACUUUUAAUGGCCUUCAUCCUUCUCUAGGAGUUACAGUAACUUAAACCUUGCUUUGAAUGUCAAACUUGAUCCUCGUCUUAGAUAUGGCAGCAGAACAAGCCCAUUAAAACUUGACUGUGUGUUGCAAGAAGGGGAUUUGGUAUUUCGGGGCUCGAGAGAACUGAAGAUCAAAUUAAAUGCCCAGGUCAUUGAUGACGUCACAUGCUCCGAUUAAUGAAACAGUCCUGGGAAAGAUCUCUGUCCUCGUUUGGAAUGUCCCAAGUCCAUUUAGGGUAAAAUACACCAACCACUUCCCAUGCAAACGUCUGCAAAGACACCAGCCACAGACUAUGGACAGCUUAAGAAUUGAAAACGGACACACUCGAUGCAAACCAGGAUUCCAGAUCUUUUUUGACUUAUUGGAGAAGCCAUGGAAAAUAAACAAUCCCCAGAUAAUCUAAUAUUGCAAUAAAAUUAGCUGUAUCUUUUCCUUUCACACAACGUCAGAGCACAGAAGGCCAGCUUCUCUUUUCCCUGCAGGAAAGUCAAGUAAUUUAAAAAUUCCCAAAGACAAUAGUUUCUCCCUACACAAGGGCCUUCCACAAAUUUGGCUGGUCUUUUCAAAGCACGGAUACAAGGCGAUAAUGUUUCAUAGGUAGGUGUGGUCACCAUUAUGUCAGUGUGUGUGCAUAAUCACCCUAAAGGUAACAAUUUCCAUGGAAUAAAUGGACUAAUAGCAAGAAGACAAGAAGACGCCCUAGUAAUAUAAUUUUUAUUGGCUCUUUCCUUCACUCACUGACUUGAUAGAAAAAGAUCUGCCUAAUCUCCCAGCACAGCUCCUGGUGGAAAGCUCCUCUUCUAGGAUUUGGCUCUGUGGUCUUAUCUGUAAUCCUGGGUGGGACACCCUCUUCCCACCAUACCCCCUCUGGUGGGACGGAAUCCAACUGCGGACAAAAACCUUCUGGAGGUUUGCUCUCUGGCCUCCUUCUCAGAGCCAUACGGAGCUGGGAGGGUCCUGUUCUCAUGGCCCAGCCAUUUGGGGGAAAUCUUGGACAAAUCACUCACAAGCAGGGAAGGAGCAUCUCAAUGAUUUAGGGGGCUUUCCAGAGUCUCGAAAACCUGCCUAGAGUUACAGAAAAUGUAAAGGCAGUGAAGAAGUAGCUGUAGAUUACUGAGCAUGAGGUAAAGGAGGAACUCUUGCCAUGUUCACAUCCAUCACCGAAGCAAAUGGAGGUGAUUUAUAUUUUCCAGAAAUGGGUGUUUGGAAAGAUUUGACGUUCAGCAGUCCUGGACCCUAACUGACAUUUAUCUCGUGUUAUAAAAUAUCAUCUCAGAGAUAGACUGACUCAAGGCUUAACAGAAAAAUAAUAUAUAUCCAGGAGUGUGUGUUUGUAUAUGGGUGUAAAAAAUGGAAAUAACAACCAAAUCCUUGCUGGGUUAAGGGUACUAUGUCAGAAGUCCACUGUUCGGGCUAUUAGGCUCAGGAUGGGUUUAAAAGGGAAAUUUUGCUGAGUAUCCUCUACUGAGUACUCCCCUGAAAAGGGAGUUUGGUUAGGUUUCCGCUUGAAUGUCUCCCUCCGAGAUGCAUUCACUGCUCGUUGAAUCUUUUUUUUUUUUUUUCUUUUCUCAUUGAAUCUUAACUCGUCCUCUCUCGACCCUGUUGUUUUUCUUCCUAGCAGAUCGGAAACUAUUUGUCUUUUUGUUUCUCACUCCGAAAUGCAAGCAAGCCUGCAGGAACUACAGACUGUCUUGUUCAUAAUUUUAUCCCCAAUACCUAGCAGAAUACCUAUAUGUAUGUAGUAGGUGCUCAAUAAAUAUAUGUGGACUUAGUGGUCAAAACGGGGCUGACUCUGGGUUGGGACAUAAAUAGGGCACUUCCAUAACAGUGUGUCUUGGAAGAAAAACUGAAAAGAGGAAGGAAGACUCCAGGCAAACUCAUUUCUAAAGUGCAGAUUAGAUUAGCUUGCCAAUAAGGGGUAAAACUUAAGUAUAACACAUUCAGUUGAGUCUGAUUAUUUAGGAUUUAGGGAUACAUUUAGGAACAAAAUCCUCACACCAUGUUGUUGGAGUGGCCAUUACAGUGUUAAGGAAGGAUCAUGGGAAUCUGUUUUCUGUAGCACCCAACCCGCACCCCACAGGGCCUGGCAUGGGUGGGGUAUCCCGUCAGAAUGUAGGCAAUGUGGCACGAUUACGUGAUUGCCCAAUUCCAAUAAGAAAUGGGGUUCCUCUUCAUGAUAGCAUUUAGACACAAGGAAGCCAGGCGUUACCUUUUUAGGAUCUGUCUCUCCUGGAAUACAGGUGAGCCAAGGACAACCACACACAAUGAGCUUAUCCUGAGGCAAUUUCCAAUAUGGCACCAGGGAGAAACGAUUCUUUAUGAAACCCACAGCAUGUACCAAGCACUUUAUGGCCUCAGCAUAAUGUAUCUUCCUGAUAAUGCCUACAGGUCAGUGCUAACCUUCUAUCUCAAGGCAGAAACUGAAGGUCAGUGCCAUACACCUCAGACCUGGAGGGAUUAAGCGAAGGUUCUCUGACUCCAGAACUUUGACUUGAGAUCGGCAUAAAGAGCGAUCUGUCCUGUGUGCUAGGCAGAAUGAGUGGGGGAUCCAUCCUAUUUGAUUACUCAGGAAAAGAGCAUCUCCAUCAAAUGUCUGGGGUAUUUGUCUUGGUCUGGUUUUGAAUUCUUGCAGACCUCCUAGGAGUCAGGUGGCUUGCAUUUCAAUUCUCAUUUGUACUCGUAACUACCCCAACCCCAAAGAGCGGGCUUGAAAUCACACAUUCAGAGAGCAUGCAGCACAUUAGGGCUCUUGUCCUGUGUCCUCUCUAUGUCCUAAUCUAUAAAAUGGACACAGUCGUACCCCGUUCCUGGUGCCCUUAUGAGGACGACUUCAGAGAGUGCUUUGGAAAGCACUGUGUCUUAUCCAAUGGAAGAUUAUUUUCUCUCCCAUUGAAAUA